GAUGAACGCUGGCGGCGUGCUUAACACAUGCAAGUCGAACGAAGCACUUUGAUCGAUUUCUUCGGAUUGAAAUUUUAGUGACUGAGUGGCGGACGGGUGAGUAACGCGUGGGUAACCUGCCUCACACAGGGGGAUAACAGUUGGAAACGGCUGCUAAUACCGCAUAAGCGCACAGUACCGCAUGGUACAGUGUGAAAAACUCCGGUGGUGUGAGAUGGACCCGCGUCUGAUUAGCUAGUUGGCAGGGUAACGGCCUACCAAGGCGACGAUCAGUAGCCGACCUGAGAGGGUGACCGGCCACAUUGGGACUGAGACACGGCCCAAAACUCCUACGGGAGGCAGCAGUGGGGAAUAUUGGCACAAUGGGGGAAACCCUGAUGCAGCGACGCCGCGUGAGCGAAGAAGUAUUUCGGAUGUAAAGCUCUAUCAGCAGGGAANAAGAAAUGACGGUACCUGACUAAGAAGCACCGGCUAAAUACGUGCCAGCAGCCG
rnacentral:rRNA from 1 species